GCUGGCCUGCUGCCUAGCUCCACAUGCUGAGCCAGAGAAGAAGCUGCAGGGAUGCAGGGCCCGCGAGGCCCAAGGAGGGAAGCACACGCUGCUGCUGAAGUAGAACGUUUGCCAGUUCUCGGCCUCCUCUUCAGGCUCUGUCCCGGUGAAGCCCUCCUGCUGGCACUUCAGGAUCCAGAGAGCUGCUCCAUCCACAAGGUUCUUCCACUGGCAGCAGACCAGGCGGCACACCAGCACCAGCUCCACCGCAGGGAUGGAGGCUAGGAUCUGGAUCAGGACAGCUUCAGGGAGGGCGUCCAUCCUCCGGCCAGGCUGGGCGGAGCUUUCUGAGAACAAGGGGAGAGGAUUUACACCCCUUGAGCAGGCCUAGGAAUCCUGGCAACAGGGUCAGACGUGUCCCUCAGCACUCGCCCUACUUGAGUGUGCAGACUCAGAAACCUUCUGUGGCAUUGAGCCAAGCCCACUCCCACUGGCCCAGCCUUUGGAGCCAGCUGCGACAGAGUAACCGGAACUGAGAGUGCAGAUUCCAAACCGCAUGUCAUUAAUAUGGGAUGCACCAUGACGGUGCUUUUAUCCCAUCUGACUCCUGCUGUUGAGAAGCUGCAGAGGCUGCACUAAGAUGCAGUCUGGAGGGGACCUGACCAGACUCGCCAGGAGCCAAUCAUAGCUUUCUUCUAGCACUAGGCUCUAUUCGGUCCAUCUUCUGUGUGCUGCCGGGAGUGAAUGGAACCCAGCGGGCAAACCUGACAUGCCAGUUGGAGAAACCUUGCCAACAUUAAUACAGCCAGGCCAACAGCACGAAGUGCUGUGUCACUUGAGUAAGGCAGGGCAGGAUGCAGAGGUCACUGCUGUUGGUAUUCUGAACCCAAAAGCUCUGAGCUCCGGAUGUCUCCCAUCUGCCCUGCACUGGCAUCAGAUGGCAAAAUUCCACAGCUAUGAGGGGUGGUAUUAGCAUCCUCCCAUCCAACCAAGUUACAAGCUCAGUGUUUAAUAUGAAGGAAAUUCCUGAAGGGCAGAACAGGCCAGACUCCGAUCACGCAGGCUGCAGUCCCUGCUGACUUCAUCGUCUGCAGCAGCUUUGCGGCACCCUCACUGACAAACUCACCGCGUCUCCGGACUAGCCAGACUCAUCGGUCCUCCUUCAUUUCACCGCCUUGCCCGAGCCUCGGCCCCCAGCCCUGCUUUCAUGUCCGCCCCUGUCCCCUUCAGUUCAUUGUGGACUCAGGUGAAGUUAACAGCUUCCAAUUCCAGCUCUUUCCCACACCCUGGUCUCCUCUGCCAGGUGCCCUGCCCUUCCCAAACCUUUCCUGUGCCCUGUUCCCCUAUCCGCACAAGCCGUAAAGGUGCACUCCUGCCUUGCAAAGAGAGCAGGGAGCGCUGCAGGGUUAAAGCACCCGUCCUAACAAGGCCCGUAGCGCACCAAGGAUGCUGCAGCGCAAGCCGAGGCGGCCGUGCAAAAGGCCUGCCUCUAGCAGCAUCCCAGCCCGGCAGUGAGAGGGGAACAGGAGACGCUGAGAAGCUCCUACCUCACUUGCUGCUCCUGAGACGGCGGCACCGUUCUGGAUUGGUCUGUCGCAGGCAAGUAACUAAUGCUGGCAGGGCUCUGCUAGAGCCUCGAGCCGGCAGAAUGGGUUCCCCUCUUAAAGGGACAGCGCCGCAGCCGCUGCAAUCCAGGAGGUGCUCCUGUAUUGGCUCUUGUGAUAUUGCUGACCUGGCUAGAGAGUUACCUGGGGGGCGGGGUGUGCAUGAGUCUGGGAGCCAGAGACUCCUGGUUUCUAAUUCCGGCUCUGUGUGAGCUUGGGUAAGUCACUUGCUCCUCUCUGCCUCUGCCUCCUGACCAGUCAAAGGAGGGGUGGGGGCUGCUGACACUUACCUCCCAGGGUGUUGGGAGGAUGAAUGUGCCCUUUGCCACCCUGUAUUUCCCCAGCAUUAGGAACUUGUGCCUGUUUCAUGCAAGAGCCCAGAGCAAAGGGAGACCAAACUGUACGUUAAUGUGAGGGACCGAAUCGGGCCUGCUGUGCAGGGCUCACUCCAGCUGUAUCCCGUAUCUAUCCCUGACGCGCUGCUCUCCACCUCCGGGUGGCGCUGCAGCAUUGGAGGUGCUUGGCUGAGGGGCA